ensembl:lncRNA LINC01036 long intergenic non-protein coding RNA 1036
CCUGGGUGUAAACUGCGAUUCAAAAAGCCAGGUGGGAAGCCCUGUAGUAGGGACUCUGGCUUUGUCCCUGUUUCCCCCUUUUCUUCCUCUUCACCCACUAAAACCCUGUUUUACUCACGGUUCAAAUUGUUUGGCAGCCUGAAUUUUCAUGGCCAUGGGACAAAGAACCCCGUCUUUAGCUGAAUUAAGGAAAAGUUCUGCAACAUUUUUGACGUGCAACUUGGGGGCUCAAGCGGAGAAGCGGACGGAUCAGCAGCUCCCUGCCACUGUCCCCUCCCUGCCAGGGCUGGGACACAUGGCUCAAGGCGCUGCAGAAGGCUGGCUGGCGUUUUCUACCAUGUGCCCAUGGAAUCUCCUCCCACAGUCAGGGAGCCCAGCUCCAACCCACAGCAAUUACACUUCUCCCCCUGGUGAAGGAAACACUUGCAUAAGAAUAAGAGGUUCUUCCACAGGCAUUUUAAAACCUUUUUUCUUUCCUCUUCUCCACAAUAUCAGCAUUUAAGUUUAAGCAAGUUUUUUUAUUUCUAGAAGACAUUUUACUAGGCAAGGAAUGAUAAGAAUCCCUGUGUAUAUUCUCUAUUAAGCUUUAAUUGUGAAAAAGGAUUUGUAGGGCUAGUCUUGGGCUGUGGCCAAUCUGGUAUGCUUCCUGUGUCUGUAUGGUUUGUGCUGUAAGCCUCCAUCUUGUUUUACACAUCCUGGGGACAUGGCCCACAACUGCUUGACAGGACUUUGUUUAGCAGUCCUGCCUUAGGGGAUCAGCCCUCUCUGGCCAAUAUCUGCAUGUUUUCCUACUCCUGUCUCUUAAAGGGCCCCACCCAGCGACUGGAUUUUCUUCUGCCUCUCUGUGUGGGUACUGUGUGUGAUAUCUGUAAAAAGUGCGCUAAUUAAUUUGGCCUAAAGAAAGACAAGAACUUGGAUCAAAUUUUUUUUAAGGGAAGUUAAAAGCUGUGGUACCUUUCAGUUCACAUGACUUUAAUCUCUGAGAAAUAAAAACAGCCCUAAAGACUAUUGGUAAAAUGCAGGUGAGAUGCAAGGUUUUCUAAGUGUUUUGAGGUUAAAAACUGCUUUUUGGGUUUUGAGAACUAUUUGACUUGAAGGCUUCACAAUUGGUAAGGCCUGGGGACAUAUGGAAAUAACCACGCUCUUAAUUAUGCUGGGAGUCAAACCUUGGCUGCACCUAGCACACAAUUAAACAACUUACCAAGUUUUUACCUUAAAAGUUAAAAAUUGCUAGGAGUUACUAUUCCGAGAUGUAAUUGAGACUACAGGAAAUAGAUUUAUAUGCAAGAUGUGUAAGAACAGUAAAAUGUGGUGUUUUUUUGUAAAAUAUUAUAAGAAGGCAUGGAAAUGUAUACUUUUGCUUAGGGUUAAAGGAUUGUUUAAAUUAGGAAAAAGCUGAAGGUUCAAACAAGUGGUGGAGAAUUGUGGAAAUUAAUCUUGCAGAAGAGGUUCAACAUAUUAACUAAAUUCAAAAGGGUUAUAAGGUUAUAAAAGGUUUUUGCUUCUUUGAAAUUUCUGAGUCAUCCUUUUGGCAAAAUAAAUAACUUAAUGGCAA